UAUUGCACAAUGGGGGAAACCCUGAUGCAGCGACGCCGCGUGAGUGAAGAAGUAUUUCGGUAUGUAAAGCUCUAUCAGCAGGGAAGAAAGUGACGGUACCUGAAUAAGAAGCCCCGGCUAACUACGUGCCAGCAGCCGCGGUAAUACGUAGGGGGCAAGCGUUAUCCGGUUUUACUGGGUGUAAAGGGAGCGUAGACGGCAAGGCAAGUCUGAAGUGAAAGCCCGGUGCUUAACGCCGGGACUGCUUUGGAAACUGUUUAGCUGGAGUGCCGGAGAGGUAAGCGGAAUUCCUAGUGUAGCGGUGAAAUGUGUAGAUAUUAGGAAGAACACCAGUGGCGAAGGCGGCUUACUGGACGGUAACUGACGUUGAGGCUCGAAAGCGUGGGGAGCAAACAG
rnacentral:rRNA from 1 species